rnacentral:lncRNA from 1 species
AAAAAGGUUCGGUUGGGGAAGGGGGACGAUUAUUCCAGUCAAAGAAAAAAAAUAAAAAAAAUUGCCGGAAAAACUACGUGUCAAUGCGUAUAAACACUACUUGGGUAAAAUUUGAUUGUGGCAUUUUAGGGGAUGAAUAAAUUCAUCUUGGAUAACGAUAGGGUGGCAAUAACUAACUUUUCGGGACAAGUACAUGGAGCAACUUAUGUAUUUUCCUUUUUAUUUAUAUUUUAUUGUAGUUGUAUUUUUUUUUUUUUUGUAUAAAUAUUGUGAAUAAGUUGUAAAUAAAUUGUAUAAUCUAUUAACAGUUAGUAUAAAAAAAAUUAUUUAACUUGUACGUUGUUAUAGAUGUAUUAAUUUUUUAUCAAAUUUGUACGGCAGUUGUAUUGACAACUCACUACCAGUGGUGAUGAGGGCGAGCGAACAAAGUUUUCCAGCGAGAGUGAAGUAGAGAGGCAGAAAAAGGGUCGUGGAGUGAAGCUGAUAUCUGUUGAUUUUGAACCUGAUUUCUGUUCGAUACGUUCGAUUUCGAAGCUGAAUUCUUUCAGUUCCAAGUUGAAGUUUCAACUUCGAGUCUCCAAUCAACAAAGUAAGUGCCUAAUUCAACUAAUUUCAUCAAAAUCAAAGCCAACGAUU